GAAAACUUCAAAAUUAAUGCAAGUCUCAGUUGCUUUCGAAAAAACCUUGUUAUUAACAUACAAUUUUCAGCUGCGAUAUUAGUCAGGAUGGUGGUAUAUACAUAUAACAGGAUUAUUCUCGUAAUUAGUACAUUUUUCAAGACUAAUUUUUGUGUUCUUUAAAAUGCUUCUUUACAUUAAUUGUUAAGCGAUUACCUUAUCUAUUUGUCUCCUUGGCUUUUUAUGUAAAAAUGUUUCAGAGUUCCCAGUUUGUCCUCUUGAGAUUCAUCGAUAAAUAAUUGAGAUAGCAUAUGUAGAGAUGUAAUUUAAUUGCCUAGUCCACUUUAGUGAUCGCCGUGAUCGCUAUUAAAUAUUUUCUAAUACGGUGAUCAUUUUUCUUUAUUAUUAUUAUUAUUUUACCUACCUAAGCUGGUAGCCUUGAAAGGCUAUUCCAACGGAAAGGGGCUCAAACCUGACGACGUUGCUAACACGAACCCUAGCAAGAGCCGUGCUUCGCAGAAUCUACCACCGGAUCGGAAGCGCGACCUACUAAGAAGAUCCGGCGAGAAACUCAGUGGGCUGUGUCUGAGGGUUAAUUUACACAUCGAGCCCUUCGUCGCAAGCGACGGGUUCGACGAGAACGGUGACCGGUAAAGUAGUGCAAAUAGGUGAACGACCUCAAAUUCCACCUCGCGUUUAGUUACCCGACAUUAUUUUACGUUAAUUUAUGACACUAGUUGAAAUGAAUUCCGAAAAUAUAAUAAAAUAUGUAACGUUA